UGACCACUUUCGCGCUCAGAAAGGCGGAAGUCAAGCCCACACGGACAGGCGGGUCAAACGCCGG
rnacentral:sRNA from 24 species